AUCCUUAUAACAUCAGUGUCAUCACAACUGGGUGGAGUAAUUGAGUAGAAAAGAUACACAACUGGACAACUAUAGUAUUUCCUAUUUCUGCAGAUCAGAAUGAAUCUCUACUACUUCUCCAGCAACAAGCCUCCUAUGUCUGCAAUAUGCUGCUGAACAUGACGUCGGUGGACUAAGACUCUGCAAUUCUAACACUCAAGUGCUAUAUUGAAGAGGUACGGAGACAGUGGACAACCUUAUUUUAGUGAAAUUGUUUUGAAUUUCUGCUACAAGCUGCAACAUUAUACAGUGAUUGCUCAGUCAUCUUUUCACAACUGAUUUAUCAGAAUCAAGGAAUCUGGUAAAGACUAAAC